CUACGGGAUGCACCAGUGGGGAAUAUUGGACAAUGGGGGAAACCCUGAUCCAGCAAUGCCGCGUGUGUGAAGAAGGCCUGCGGGUUGUAAAGCACUUUCGGUUGGGAGGACUGCUUCUAGCACUAAUAUUGUUGGAAGUUGACGUUACCUUCAGAAGAAGCACCGGCUAACUCCGUGCCAGCAGCCGCGGUAAUACGGAGGGUGCAAGCAGUUAAUCGGAAGUACUGGGCGUAAAGCGCGCGUAGGCGGCUAGAUCAGUCGGGUGUGAAAGCCCCGGGCUUAACCUGGGAACUGCAUCCGAUACUGUCUAGCUUGAGUACAGGAGAGGAGAGUGGAAUUCCACAUGUAGCGGUGAAAUGCGUAGAUAUGUGGAGGAACACCAAUGGCGAAGGCAGCUCUCUGGCCUGAUACUGACGCUGAGGUGCGAAAGCGUGGGGAGCAAACAGGAUUAGAUACCCCGGUAGUC
rnacentral:rRNA from 1 species